AUUGAACGCUGGCGGCAGGCCUAACACAUGCAAGUCGAGCGGCAGCACGGGUACUUGUACCUGGUGGCGAGCGGCGGACGGGUGAGUAAUGCCUAGGAAUCUGCCUGGUAGUGGGGGAUAACGUCCGGAAACGGGCGCUAAUACCGCAUACGUCCUACGGGAGAAAGUGGGGGAUCUUCGGACCUCACGCUAUUAGAUGAGCCUAGGUCGGAUUAGCUAGUUGGUGAGGUAAUGGCUCACCAAGGCGACGAUCCGUAACUGGUCUGAGAGGAUGAUCAGUCACACUGGAACUGAGACACGGUCCAGACUCCUACGGGAGGCAGCAGUGGGGAAUAUUGGACAAUGGGCGAAAGCCUGAUCCAGCCAUGCCGCGUGUGUGAAGAAGGUCUUCGGAUUGUAAAGCACUUUAAGUUGGGAGGAAGGGCAGUUACCUAAUACGUGAUUGUUUUGACGUUACCGACAGAAUAAGCACCGGCUAACUCUGUGCCAGCCGCCGCGGUAA
rnacentral:rRNA from 1 species